UCCAGCUUUGUAACGCGCAUGUCUACUCAUUUAACUCACGAAAAGAAAGCAAAUAUCGGCGUAUUUCCCAAAAUGUUGAAUAAUACCUUUAAAAUUAAUGUCUGAAUUGACUAAAAGAACUGUCAGUACUUCAUUCCCUGGUCUCUCUGAGUGGCUACUUACAGUUUAUUUAAUAUAAAUUCCUCAGAAUGUGGAUUUUUCAAAGGAAACUGGACCCAAAAAUAAUGCAUAUCACUCCUGCUAUUGUGUUAAACAGCAACUGUCCCAUUUUUCUGGCAGUAAAAUAUGCCAGAAAUAAGCAAGACCUGAACAGCAAUUUGGUAUAUUUAUGUUGAAAACAGGUGAUUACUAUCAAAGCCUCGGAUCCCAUAUGACCGUAAUGUUUGAAUAUACAAUUUAAGCCUAAGAAUAUACAGUGCACAGGACCUGCCUGUUUCUCCUCAGAGAGGCAAGUCUGGAGGGUCUGCAAAAACAGGCCAAGCUGCUCUUAAAAUGGCCACCAGUGUGAGAGAUUUAUCACACAACCUGCACACUAGUAAAAAGAGAUCAUUUGCUCCCCUUCCUCCAUACAUAAACUGCUAUCUCAUUCCGGGGGGCAUAACAUUUAUUAUGGCAUACUUUCUGCCUCUUCAUCCUACCCCCUUUACCCAGACAUGGUGUUGUGUAGUAACAAGGAAAUUUAUCACUCAGUUUUAUGCAUCAGUACAGAUGUCUCGGACAGGAGUCACAGUGAUGGCUAAUCGUAUACUGUCAGUUACAGUUAGCAUCACAUUAGCAUAAAUGCUUACAGGUCAGGUAUGUGCCAACUUGAGGGCAGAAACAUAAAGGUGAGGUCAAUCAGAAAACAUGCUUUAGUUUGGAGGCUCCAAAACACCAAACGGAUCAAGGAACUGUUCUGUCUCUGAAACAAAUAGCAGCAGACAGGCUGUCAUAAAAGAACACACAGCAUAUCACAAUUCCAAUCCUGCAGGUUCAGAAAACCAGCUGUCUGUUCUUAUUUGUCCAUAUGUCCCCUUUAGUAUCUAUGACACGAGGGUGGACUUUUGUAAAUGAGGCCCUUGCCACAAUGUUUUGUAGUAAUGCUGAUAUUCAGCAAAGCUUGGGUUGAAGCGCGUCAGCCUUUGUUUAACUCACACUGUGUCCUGAAGGAUACGUGUGAGGAGGAUAUAACUGUGCAGUGCAGAAAACAAGAGAGGUCUCCAGCUGUAGCCGCACUAGCUGCUGACAGUCCUUUAAAUAGAAGUACUUGUAGGGUUGUUUUAGACAAAAGUGGGAUCUUUACAUGGUGUUGAGUGUGAGGAUGCACACACACAAGCACAUACACACUUCCCUUCCAUUUUCAAACACACCCUCAAAUCAAUAGCCUGAUUGAAUUUGGUUCUCCCCUUCUUGCUCCCCAGGGGUCCUGUUGAUUGGGCUUGGCAAACGCAAUGUUGUGUGUGUGUGUGUAACAGAGAGAGAGAGUAUAAAUGUGUGUGUUUCUUUCAUUGUACACACAGCAAAGUAACGAUUCUGAUCUGCAUUCUGAGAGGCUCUCCAGUCCCCAGAGCAAAAUCAAGACACGCCUUUUCCACACAUCUUGACGAAUCGCUACCCGUAAGGUCCAAAACUCCUCACUCGGCCAUGUCCGGAAGUCUCUGACAGUCAGCAGAGGAAAUCGCCUACAGUUGAUGUAUCGAGUUAAUCUGAUAAACACUUGGCAUACUCGCUACUCGCCUUAUAUUUCAGUGAAUAACACACUGUGGUCUCCCUUUUCAUCAGCCCUCCUGUAUGAAAAAGGACAAUAUCCUGCUGUCAGCCCUCAGGCAUAUACUGGGAAUGUCAACUCAAACUGUCACCAUGGGGAGUCAAAGAUGGAGGAGGGAUGGUGGGGAGGAAGCACAGGGGUAAGAGGAGGAGGAGAAGGAAGAUGAGAAAGGGAGGAUGCCACAACAAUCAGCGUCCUGCAGACAGUGGCAUGCAGUCCCACUCUGUGGGGGAGUGGUGAUGACAUCAGAGGAGCAGCAGGAACAGCCCGCUGACUCUCAUCAUACAGAGACAGGGUGGUUGCACCCACAGCAGUGUGCGGGACCUGAGGGCUGCCACACAUACACCUGAGCCAUGGCGGGCAGUCAGUGAGGCUGAGAGUUUGUUGCUUGAACUUUUGGAGAAAGUGAACUGUCUGGGCAAGCAGAGGUGCUGUCAAGACAGACUGAUGUUUCCUUUUGCAAUAUUGUGUGUGUGUGUGAGUGGUCAAAUAAUAAAAUACAUUGUCUGCAAGCUGUGUCUUGGCAUCUGCCUUGUAACCAGGGAGUCUGGUAGCGAAGGCAUGCUACACAUUGAUGUAGAAGUUCUCUCUCUCUCUUUGUCUCUUUAUGUGUCUCUGAUGCACACAGAUAUUCUUUAUUUCAGCAAUGUCUUUAUUUCAAAGGAUAAUACUUUACUCAUGAUAAUACAUCAUAUCUAGUACAUUUUAAAGGGAAAAUGUGGUCAUAGCAAAACUGCAGGAGAAAUUUUAAAUCACAGCUUUCAACAUUUUUCUAGCCACGCUAGCAGCGUGGUUCUAGGGAUGGCAAUGUCGGUUUGUUGGUCGAUAACUCUGGUCUAGACUGAAAUAUACUAACAGCUAUUGGAUGGGUUGGAAGAGGGAAACGUACUGAGGUCAGUUUCUACUGAACACAGGAAACAAACAUCCUGCCAAGUACUGUAAAUUAUAAGCUGCUCAAUACAAACAGCAACAGUUUAACGCAAACUUUUCACCCUCGCUCAGCAAUAACAUCAGCCCUCAGGUAGUUAGUCACUAUCCAGGAUGAGAAAUCAAUGGCAGACUGCAGUCUGGUUUCACUUGGCUGAGAGGAGAACAUUUAGGCCUGCUUCGACAAAUGCUGUUGUGCACUGCUGUCCGGACACCGACACAGCUCACAGCUUGUUAAUGUGCUGCUGCUUAAAGUAGGAGGUUAUUUGUCUUAUGUUUUGGACUUUGGCCAACUUUUGCAUUUGAAAACCUAACUUACUAGAGGGAGAAAUUCGGCAUCGACAGCAAAAUAUACAAAUCUUUAUGUUUUUGUUUGCUGCUGUUUAGCAGAAUGGCAUUUUUGUGCAUUAUGUCAGUGUGAUGCCUCCACGUGACCUGAGUCACUGCUGUGCACUUUGCUUUUCUCCUCCACCCAUCACUGUAUGUAUUUACACCCGAGGGACAAUAUGGAUGGCCAGUGGGCAAUGACACCAAACACACACAAAUGCGCAAACCUCCAAACACUCAAAAGGUGAGCAAAUAUUUUCCUCACCAUGGGGAAUUCUAUUAAGUUUUAUGAAAGUGAAAUGAAACCACACACACAGGUGAUGAGCCAAUAUUGCCAUGACUGGGGGGAGUUGUGUUUAAUAACUUACUGAGGGAAAGUGUUUCCAUAGGUGGGCGGAAGCAACUUUCUCAGAGUAAACCGUGGGUGGAGAGAUCAGCGUCCUGAAGCUUCCACACAAAUGGAGGGAGAUGAGAGGCAGAGAGACCUUGGCUAGUGUGGCAAUAGAUCCUGGUAAUAUAAGCAUGAAUUUUCUGUCAUGGUCUGGCUUUGACUCUCCUUCAUCCCUAGUGUUUCCAGCUGUUCUCCCCCUUCCCUUGUGUUUCCUGUUUAUGUCUGUAUCUCUGUGUGUGGGAUCUGGUCUAAGCGUGGCCUUCAUUCACUCUCCUACACACCUGCAACCAACUACCAAUCAAUCCUUGCCACCAAGCAUCCUGCACACCUGUGAUCCAUCCAAUCGUCCAGCUCCAGCAGUAUAUAGCCAGAUCGUCAGUUAACCUAAGUGGUACACAGACAUGGUCAAGUUAUCUGCAUGUUGUUUCUGUGUGUCUUUGGCUCUCCUGGUAACCUGUGUUUCUCCUUGCGAACCUGCCUGCCUACCUGGAUUUACGCUCUUAUGUGUAUUCGUUUGCCGAUAACCUGCCUGACGCCCAGACUCUGUGUCAAUUCAAGACAGCCUGCCAAACCAGACAACACCACUGCGAGAUCUCAGUCCACACUCAAGCCAUUCUGCUAUCUGUGUGUGAAAUAAACUCUGAGUCUUCGUC